rnacentral:ncRNA from 1 species
GAAAAUCUGUUGUGGUGGCCAAGGAUUCAUAGCGACAUUGCUUUUUUGAUUCUUGGAAGUCAGCUCUUCCUAUCAUUGUGAAGCAGAAUUCACCAAGCGUUGGAUUGUUCACCCACUAAUCUUUGGGGUUUUAAGCAGGAGGUGUCAGAAAAGUU